rnacentral:rRNA from 1 species
CACGUAGGCGGCAGGGCAAGUCAAAGGUGAAAGCCCUCAGCUCAACUGAGGAACUGCCUUUGAAACUGCCCUGCUUGAGUCCGGGAGGGGGGAGCGGAAUUCCCAGUGUAGCGGUGAAAUGCGUAGAUACUGGGAGGAACACCAGUGGCGAAGGCGGCUCCCUGGACCGGCACUGACGCUGAGGUGCGAAAGCGUGGGUAGCAAACA